AGAGUUUGAUCCUGGCUCAGAUUGAACGCUGGCGGCAUGCCUUACACAUGCAAGUCGAACGGCAGCACGGGAGCAAUCCUGGUGGCGAGUGGCGAACGGGUGAGUAAUAUAUCGGAACGUGCCCAGUCGUGGGGGACAACGCAGCGAAAGCUGUGCUAAUACCGCAUACGAUCUAUGGAUGAAAGCGGGGGAUCGCAAGACCUCGCGCGAUUGGAGCGGCCGAUAUCAGAUUAGCUAGUUGGUGGGGUAAAAGCCCACCAAGGCGACGAUCUGUAGCUGGUCUGAGAGGACGACCAGCCACACUGGAACUGAGACACGGUCCAGACUCCUACGGGAGGCAGCAGUGGGGAAUUUUGGACAAUGGGCGCAAGCCUGAUCCAGCAAUGCCGCGUGCAGGAUGAAGGCCUUCGGGUUGUAAACUGCUUUUGUACGGAACGAAACGGUCCUUUCUAAUACAGAGGGCUAAUGACGGUACCGUAAGAAUAAGCACCGGCUAACUACGUGCCAGCAGCCGCGGUAAUACGUAGGGUGCGAGCGUUAAUCGGAAUUACUGGGCGUAAAGCGUGCGCAGGCGGUUAUGUAAGACAGAUGUGAAAUCCCCGGCUCAACCUGGGACCUGCAUUUGUGACUGCAUAGCUAGAGUACGGUAGAGGGGGGAUGGAAUUCCGCGUGUAGCAGUGAAAUGCGUAGAUAUGCGGAGGAACACCGAUGGCGAAGGCAAUCCCCUGGACCUGUACUGACGCUCAUGCACGAAAGCGUGGGGAGCAAACAAGGAUUAGAUACCCUGGUAGUCCACGCCCUAAACGAUGUCAACUGGUUGUUGGGUCUUCACUGACUCAGUAACGAAGCUAGCGCGUGAAGCUGACCGCCUGGGGAGUACGGCCGCAAGGUUGAAACUCAAAGGAAUUGACGGGGACCCGCACAAGCGGUGGAUGAUGUGGUUUAAUUCGAUGCAACGCGAAAAACCUUACCCACCUUUGACAUGUACGGAAUUCGCCAGAGAUGGCUUAGUGCUCGAAAGAGAGCCGUAACACAGGUGCUGCAUGGCUGUCGCCAGCUCGUGUCGUGAGAUGUUGGGUUAAGUCCCGCAACGAGCGCAACCCUUGUCAUUAGUUGCUACAUUCAGUUGGGCACUCUAAUGAGACUGCCGGUGACAAACCGGAGGAAGGUGGGGAUGACGUCAAGUCCUCAUGGCCCUUAUAGGUGGGGCUACAUACGUCAUACAAUGGCUGGUACAGAGGGUUGCCAACCCGCGAGGGGGAGCUAAUCCCAUAAAGCCAGUCGUAGUCCGGAUCGCAGUCUGCAGCUCGACUGCGUGAAGUCGGAAUCGCUAGUAAUCGCGGAUCAGAAUGUCGCGGUGAAUACGUUCCCGGGUCUUGUACACACCGCCCGUCACACCAUGGGAGCGGGUUCUGCCAGAAGUAGUUAGCCUAACCGCAAGGAGGGCGAUUACCACGGCAGGGUUCGUGACUGGGGUGAAGUCGUAACAAGGUAGCCGUA
rnacentral:rRNA from 1 species